rnacentral:tRNA from 1 species
GCCUGGAUAGCUCAGUUGGUAGAGCAGAAGACUGAAAAUCUUUGUGUCGUUGGUUCAAUUCCGGCUCCAGGCACCA